CAGUCGCCGCGGGAAUACGUAGGGUGCAAUCGUUAAUCGGAAUUACUGGGCGUAAAGCGUGCGCAGGCGGUUUUGUAAGACAGAGGUGAAAUCCCCGGGCUCAACCUGGGAACUGCCUUUGUGACUGCAAGGCUAGAGUACGGCAGAGGGGGAUGGAAUUCCGCGUGUAGCAGUGAAAUGCGUAGAUAUGCGGAGGAACACCGAUGGCGAAGGCAAUCCCCUGGGCCUGUACUGACGCUCAUGCACGAAAGCGUGGGGAGCAAACAGGAUUAGAUACCCGUGUAGUCCCUGUCUCUUAUAA
rnacentral:rRNA from 1 species